ACGGAAGGCAGCAGUGGGGAAUAUUGGGCAAUGGGCGAAAGCCUGACCCAGCAAUGCCGCGUGAAGGAAGAAGGUCUUCGGAUUGUAAACUUCUUUUAUGAGGGACGAAGGAAUUGACGGUGCCUCAUGAAUAAGCCACGGCUAACUACGUGCCAGCAGCCGCGGUAAUACGUAGGUGGCAAGCGUUAUCCGGAUUUACUGGGUGUAAAGGGCGCGUAGGCGGGGAUGCAAGUCAGGUGUGAAAUCUAUGGGCUUAACUCAUAAACUGCACUUGAAACUGUAUCUCUUGAGUGCUGGAGAGGUAGACGGAAUUCCUUGUGUAGCGGUGAAAUGCGUAGAUAUAAGGAAGAACACCAGUGGCGAAGGCGGUCUACUGGACAGUAACUGACGCUGAGGCGCGAAAGCGUGGGGAGCAAACAGGAUUAGAUACCCUGGUA
rnacentral:rRNA from 1 species